AACGAAGGUAGCUUGCUACCAGACGUCGAGCGGCGGACGGGUGAGUAAUGCUUAGGAAUCUACCGAGUAGUGGGGGAUAGCCAUUGGAAACGAUGAUUAAUACCGCAUAUAUCCUACGGGGGAAAGCAGGGGACCUUCGGGCCUUGCGCUAUUCGAUGAGCCUGAGUGAGAUUAGCUAGUUGGUGGGGUAAAGGCCUACCAAGGCGACGAUCUCUAGCUGGUCUGAGAGGAUGAUCAGCCACACUGGGACUGAGACACGGCCCAGACUCCUACGGGAGGCAGCAGUGGGGAAUAUUGCACAAUGGACGAAAGUCUGAUGCAGCCAUGCCGCGUGUGUGAAGAAGGCCUUCGGGUUGUAAAGCACUUUCAGCGAGGAGGAAAGGUUAGUCGUUAAUAUCGGCUAGCUGUGACGUUACUCGCAGAAGAAGCACCGGCUAAUUUAGUGCCAGCAGCCGCGGUAAUACUAAAGGUGCAAGCGUUAAUCGGAAUUACUGGGCGUAAAGCGCGCGUAGGUGGUUUGUUAAGUUGGAUGUGAAAGCCCAGGGCUCAACCUUGGAACUGCAUUCAAAACUGACUCACUAGAGUACGAGAGAGGUUAGUGGAAUUUCCUGUGUAGCGGUGAAAUGCGUAGAGAUGGGAAGGAACACCAGUGGCGAAGGCGACUGACUGGCUCGAUACUGACACUGAG
rnacentral:rRNA from 1 species